AUUGAACGCUGGCGGCAGGCCUAACACAUGCAAGUCGAACGAGUGGCGGACGGGUGAGUAAUGUCUGGGAAAUUGCCUGAUGGAGGGGGAUAACUACUGGAAACGGUAGCUAAUACCGCAUACCAUCGGAUGUGCCCCGAGGGGAUUAGCUAGUAGGUUGGGUAAAGGGUCACCUAGGCGACGAUCCCUAGCUGGUCUGAUAGGAUGAACGGCCAACCUGGAACUGAGACACGGUCCAUACUCCGACGGGCGGCAGCGGUGGGGAAUAUUGCACAAUGGGCGCAAGCCUGAUGCAGCCAUGCCGCGUGUAUGAAGAAGGCCUUCGGGUUGUAAAGUACUUUCAGCGGGGAGGCGUUACCCGCAGAAGAAGCACCGGCUAACUCCGUGCCAGCAGCCGCGGUAAUAC
rnacentral:rRNA from 1 species